ensembl:lncRNA
CAAGCUGUCUGGGGACCAGGAGCAGGCCCACAAUGGGGUAGGGUUGGGUUUUUUACAGUGGUGGUCCUUUCCCGUAUCCUGUGUCAAUUGACUGACAGCUUUAGGUUAUGUAACUUUUCUCCUGUGACACAGGCGCUUAUCCAUAAGCACCCAAGUGAAACCCGUGGGGGUGGGGGGAAUCGCAAUGUUAGUUUAUUACAAAUAUGGCGUAAUGAACCUGAGUUACUUUGAGUCACCUUUUAGGUCUUUGAGUGCCUGCACCAACCUGUGCUGGUUUUAUCUUGCUUAGUCCUGAUAAGCCUGGGAACUUUAUGGUGGUCCUUGACUAGAAGGGUAUGGAUCUCCUGGCAUGUCCUGAUCACCAGUGUGCAGGUGGAGAAGAGAAACACGACCCUGCCUAGGAUGGUGUAGAACCCACUCAUGUCUAACUAGCUACCUAACAGUAGGACUGUAUUGACCACUGGGCUCUCGUCCUUGUAUGAAGGUCAUCAUCUUCACUAGACAGUGAUCUCAUGUGCUUGAUAAGGCAAUGAUCUGACUUUUCUCUGGUCACAUCAUUAUAGUCAGAAAGAAAUUGUGAGGACUUAUUGGAAACAUAGGCUGAAAGAACGGCUCUUAGCCCCUCGUUGGGGACUGCCCAUUUGGGAGUAUUUUAGGGCUUAUACUCAUUUGAAAGCUGGAGAGACUUCAAUCAGUACCUGCUCACAGUGAAGGAAAUGGAUAUUGGAAACUUUCUGUAUGGCACGUGCAGUGCUGGACUAAUAGAUAUUAGAGAAUGAGAGAACUUACUAUGCAAGAAACUAAACGUUGGGUUGGCGCUGAUACUCAUUCGAACUAUUCCCUGGCAACCCCUCCUCACCAGCAUAUUUAAAAGUACAGGUAGAGGGGAAUCCAGGUUAUCUGCAAGGUUUCCAUGGCCCUGUGUGCUCCUGGUGAUGUCAUAAAAGCCUCAUCCAUGUUUAUCUCUAAUAUCGGAAAUCUCCAUGCAGAGCAGAAUCACUUAAAGUAGAUAAUGGACAAAAAAGGGUUUCUGUUGGCUUUUUAAGGUUUCAACUGGAAUCUUGUCCAAAACAAACAUUUCAUUAAAUGCAUUAAGCUCUAGGAUUAGGAUCUGACUGGAUCUCAGAGGCUUAAAUGUGGAUUCUUUAUCAACUGAGCUAUGAGGGAAGCCCACCAAAAAGAAAGCCAGCCCAAAUGAAACCACAGGGGAGAACAGAUCCAGAAUUCCAGAGACUUGGAGGUAGAACUGACUAAAGCCGCUGAAGUCCAGACCUUCUGGAUUUUUAUUUAUAUAGUUUAAUAAAUGACUUAAUAC